UACGUAGGGUGCAAGCGUUGUCCGGAAUUAUUGGGCGUAAAGAGCUUGUAGGCGGUUCGUCGCGUCGUUUGUGAAAACUUGGGGCUCAACCUUAAGCUUGCAGGCGAUACGGGCGGACUAGAGUACUUCAGGGGAGACUGGAAUUCCUGGUGUAGCGGUGAAAUGCGCAGAUAUCAGGAGGAACACCGGUGGCGAAGGCGGGUCUCUGGGAAGUAACUGACGCUGAGAAGCGAAAGCAUGGGUAGCAAACAGG
rnacentral:rRNA from 1 species